GUGCUCACUUUGGUAGCACAUAUACUAAAAUUGGAAUGAUCCAGAGAAGAUUCGCAAAGCCCCUGUGCAAGGAUGAUACGCAAAUCCGUGAAGCAGUCUAUAUUUUU